rnacentral:pre_miRNA from 1 species
AGGAACAACAACCUAGGUGGCGGCCAGCUCUCCAGCCCUGGAGUCAGCUCCCGCAGUAACUGUUGCAGCUCCCAGUCUGCAGGGACCUGGAUGCUCCCGGAGAGG